GCGACAGAGUAUGGAGAAUGGAGAGGAGAUAAGCGACGGGCGGCGGCUGGAAGGACAGCGCAUUGGCAGCCGUCACUCACCGUGGCAGGGGUGCUGGAGCCGGGCAGAUUCACAUUUCAUCUUUGAUCCAGCUGGCUUUGUCAGUUCUGUUACUGAGAAUUCAGUCAAAGAGUUAAAGCAGCUGCUGCUCACUGGCACUUCGCAGGAGACAAGCGUGAUGGGCUGAAUGGUCUCCUUCUAUAUGGUCUAAUGUAAUGGUCCCCCUGGCAAAUGAAUCGUGUUGUUCCUAACUAUGAGAAAAACGAGCAACUCACUGUUGACCAGCUGUAAACUUCAACAUGGC